CUUCGGGGCAGGGUGACUGCUUGAUGGCAGGAUUCCCGACCGGCGGUGUAAUCGAAUGAGUCUUUUAAAACAGGAUGAAUCGUAAAGUCCGCGAACCGUCAAAGACGGCCGAUUCGGUGAGAUUCCGGAACCGACAGUAUAGUCUGGAUGAGAGAAGGAG
rnacentral:ncRNA from 1 species